rnacentral:lncRNA from 1 species
CUCCUCCCCGCUGCAAACAGCGUGAAAUUCUGUGGCUCCACCCCAGCGCACUGCUCCCAGUGUGCAGGCCGGCUGGAGUUUUUCCGGGGAUCCUUUCCUACCUGGCUGUCUCAAUAAGAACUGAGGUACUCUUGAAUGCAGGUUUCUGAUAGCUUUGGAGAUUGUAACAUCAGAAUAGAGGAAAAACUUCCAGGACUCUCAUGGAGAGCUGAAAUAUUCAUGAAUAUCAAGAAGAACAGGAGUUAACUACAUGAACUGGACUAAUAAAAGAUGGAAGUAAUUAUUUUUUGACUUUGCUUAAAAACAUUGCCCAUCCUUUGUUUUGUUUUCAGAGUCAAGGAAACUUUUCAUUUGAGUUGUCUACAGAUUUUAACAAUUGUGUAAAGUGUACUCCUGUGAGCAACAUUUAGAGCAUAUUUGUUUCUCUCUACCUGAUUUCUCCAAAAUUUGGAAACUAUUUGUAUCUUAAAUUGUGGCAAUAUAUUUAUUUUGCAUAAGUUCCAUAAGAAUGUUUUAUUUUGCAACAGGACACAAGUGGAUAAAUUGUUUAUUUUACAAGGCUUUGACUAGAAUGGCAUGCUUUCUUUUAAGGAAUCAAAUUUGACAUGGAGAGCCAAUAGAAGCCCCUUGGGAAAACUGGCCUCAUACCUUGUCUAUAGAGUUCCUAUACAGGGUUCCUGACCUGGGAUAAGUAAAGAAUAUUACUUUCUGACAGGCCCAGGAGCCCCAAGUUAUCUUGGGACCUCAAGAGGAGAGGAAUUUACCCAACUCAUAGAUAUUUGACAGUACAACCCCAUCGCUGGGCUCAGUUUUAAAAGAAAAAUGUCUUAUAUGAGAUUUCUUAUGGAACAGAGUUCAAUCAAAGUCAAUUUAGAAAGCCUAUGUGAAAAAUAGUUAUUCUUGCUCUUCUUUAUUCAAAUAAUCAGGCCAAGUUUAAUAAAGCAAGCCAGUCUUACUAUGAUUUAUUUUUAGUGAAAAUGGGAGACUGGAGAAAUAAACUAUAUUUCAAGAACUAUGGUACACUCAUUAUUAGAUUCUAGUCUCAUCAGAUGUGGAAUAUAUUUGCUAUUGUACUCUUUGUGUAGGAAUGAAGGGUAAGCUUACUCAAUAUUUUCUUAAAUUGAAUAAUUAAUAAAUUAUAAACUUUUGUAGGAACUCAGAGGUAUGAAUGACCUUCACCAUACUGACACUUUAUGACUGGGCUCCUCUCUACCUGUAAUACAAGAGACCCUAAUAGCUAGGCAGGAAUAAUAUCACCCCUAUUCAGCCUGAAGAAGUUACAGAAGAUGGAUCUUUGCUCCUCAACAACUCUCAGGAUUAAGGGAUCUCUUAUAAAAGAGAUGGGGAAAAUGUCAGAGGUGUUUGAACCAGAGCAACUCCAUCUUAAAUAGGGGCUGGAUAAAAUAAGGCUGAGGCAUACUGGGCUGUAUUCCCAGAUGGUUAGGCCUUCUAAGUCACAGAAUGAGAUAGGAGGUUGGCACAAGAUACAGGUCAUAAAAACCUUGCUGAUAAAACUGGUUUCAGUAAAGAAGCUGGCUAAAACCCAGCAAAACCAAGAUGGUAAUGAGAAUGACCUCUGGUUGUCCUCACUGCUACACUCUCAUCAGUGCCAUAACAAUUUAUAAAUGCCAUGGCAAUGUCAGGAAGUUACCCUAUAUGGUCUAAAAAGGGGAGGAACCUCAGCUCUGGGAAUUGCCCACCGCUUUCCUGGAAAACUAAUGAAUACUAAAAAUGGGCAACCAUUUUUAUGGUUAUUUCUUGAUUAGUCAUUCUUUUAUUCCUUUACUUUCUUAAUAAACUUGUUUUCACUUUGCUUUAUGGACUCGCCUCAAAUUCUUUCUUCUGUGAAAUCCAAGAGACCUCUCUUGAGGUCUGGAUUGGGACCCCUUUCCAGUUACACUACCAGUUCUAGCCCACUAGAAAUGGUAAAAAAUCAGGAAGAACAGAUAUGAUAAAGGUCAGAGACUUGAUUCUAUAAAAAUUAAUGAAGAACACAGUAAAUGGAUUAAAUAAAAGUAAAAUUAAAUGGGUUAUUUUAAUUUUAAUUGCUCUAAAAGAUAACACAAAAAUAGAAGUAUUUUUGUGUUAUUAGCAUAUACAAAAUUAAAAUAUAUUACAAAAAUAUCACCAAGAAUGUGAGGGAAGAAUUGAACAAAUACUGUAAUAAGUUUCUUCACAUUAAAAAAAAAAACAUUCAAAAUCAACAAAUUUUUGCUCUGUCAUCAGAGAACUGAG